UCCCAGACUCCUACGGGAGGCAGCAGUGGGGAAUAUUGGGCAAUGGGCGAAAGCCUGACCCAGCAACGCCGCGUGAAGGAAGAAGGCUUUCGGGUUGUAAACUUCUUUUGACAGGGAAGAGCAGAAGACGGUACCUGUUUAGAAAGCUCCGGCUAACUACGUGCCAGCAGCCGCGGUAAUACGUAGGGAGCAAGCGUUGUCCGGAAUUACUGGGCGUAAAGGGCGCGUAGGUGGGCGCUUAAGUCAGGUGUGAAAACUCCGGGCUCAACCUGGAGACUGCACUUGAAACUGGGUGUCUUGAGGGCAGGAGAGGAAAGUGGAAUUCCUAGUGUAGCGGUGAAAUGCGUAGAUAUUAGGAGGAACACCAGUGGCGAAGGCGACUUUCUGGACUGUACCUGACGCUGAGGCGCGAAAGCGUGGGUAGCGAACGGGAUUAGAUACCCCCGUAAAG
rnacentral:rRNA from 1 species